rnacentral:rRNA from 1 species
UACGUAGGGUGCGAGCGUUGUCCGGAAUUAUUGGGCGUAAAGAGCUCGUAGGCGGUGUGUCGCGUCGGCCGUGAAAACCUGGGGCUCAACUCUGGGCGUGCGGUCGAUACGGGCAUCACUUGAGUUCGGCAGGGGAGACUGGAAUUCCUGGUGUAGCGGUGAAAUGCGCAGAUAUCAGGAGGAACACCAAUGGUGAAGGCAGCUCGCUGGAACGGUACUGACGCUGGAGAACGCGAAAGCGUGGGGAGCAAACAGG